rnacentral:rRNA from 1 species
AGAUUGAACGCUGGCGGCAGGCCUAACACAUGCAAGUCGAGCGGCAGCACGGGUACUUGUACCUGGUGGCGAGCGGCGGACGGGUGAGUAAUGCCUAGGAAUCUGCCUGGUAGUGGGGGAUAACGCUCGGAAACGGACGCUAAUACCGCAUACGUCCUACGGGAGAAAGCAGGGGACCUUCGGGCCUUGCGCUAUCAGAUGAGCCUAGGUCGGAUUAGCUAGUUGGUGAGGUAAUGGCUCACCAAGGCGACGAUCCGUAACUGGUCUGAGAGGAUGAUCAGUCACACUGGAACUGAGACACGGUCCAGACU